UAUUGCACUUUUCAGAAUUGAUUUAUUUAUAAUUUAUUUAAUUUAAAUUUAUUUUAAAUAAAUAUAAAAAAUAGUGGCAGCCUAUGUAGUUUGUAGGCUUUGUCAAGACGUUUAUAUGGGGAUAUGUUUUUAUACAUCAAUGAUAGAGUCGUACAGGAAAGGCAUUCCUAACAUUCCGUCGCAACUUACAGAAAAAGUAUUUGGUACUAUUUGAAAAGGACAAUCAACCUUAUUAAUAUUUAUGUACACUUCUCCAGAGGUCUUUACCCCUUGACUGUAUAGCAAAGUAGUCGAGGACCACUUAAAUUUAAAUGAGCGGAGUUCGUAUGCGGCCACCUUAAUGGUACGGCGAGCGGAAUUCAGGAAGAAAAAAUAGAGGGCCCGAAAGCUUGCAGUUAAAAUCCUGGCCAUGAGCGGAAUUCGUGUGCACUGGACUCUUGCACAAUACCCGGAUUCCCGAGAGUUUCACUGGGAAUGGUAUUUGGAAACGGAAGUCCAAUUUGAAACGGAGGCCAGUAAUGCAGGCUUAGGAACCAUAAUAACUCAAACAAUAAACUAUGAGAAUGAUGUGGUAGCGUUUGCAAGCAGAGGGUUAGAUGGAGCAUGCCACUUUUAGAAUAUGAUAUAGUUUAUUGAAAAGAAGGUUUAGAUCACGUUCCCAUUUUCUAACAGAGGACCCCAGAGGAAAGGCAUGGUCUUGUCAAGCUUGCAGGUACUGCUCUGACUAAGAGCGUGCCGACCACUGAUCUAGAAGCAAGGAGUCCAGUAUAGAUACAACUCAAGCAGCCGACGCGUCCGAAGCCAGAACGACCACCUCCAGAUGGACAGAAGUAGAAGUUCACGGUCAUCUCUUUCAUAUAUCAAACUGUUGACGUAGAGUAUUCACAAAGAAAGGUUAAUGUAUAAUCCUUGUAUUUCACAGUACUGCCUUUCCUCAACAAAAUAAAAACACUACUUUGUGAUCAGAAAAAUUGUAAUAGACGAUAUACCUCUAUUCCACAGUAUUAAAGGAAUAAAACUGCAAAGCACACAUAUAAUCACGCGUAUUAGAUAACCGACGUGAGAUAAGCAUAUUUUUACGCUGGCAUACACCAAACAUAGGGAUAAAACCGGUAUAGAAGGACAUAACUGACAAAACU